AUUGAACGCUGGCGGAAUGCUUUACACAUGCAAGUCGAACGGCAGCACGGGGCAACCUGGUGGCGAGUGGCGAACGGGUGAGUAAUACAUCGGAACGUGCCCAAUCGUGGGGGGAUAACGUAGCGAAAGUUACGCUAAUACCGCAUACGAUCUACGGAUGAAAGCGGGGGAUCGCAAGACCUCGCGCGAAUGGAGCGGCCGAUGUCAGAUUAGGUAGUUGGUGGGGGUAAAGGCUCACCAAGCCGACGAUCUGUAGCUGGUCUGAGAGGACGACCAGCCACACUGGGACUGAGACACGGCCCAGACUCCUACGGGAGGCGAGCAGUGGGGAAUUUUGGACAAUGGGCGCAAGCCUGAUCCAGCCAUUCCGCGUGCAGGAUGAAGGCCUUCGGGUUGU
rnacentral:rRNA from 1 species